CAGCCGCGGUAAUUCCAGCUCCAAUAGCGUAUAUUAAAGUUGUUGCAGUUAAGAAGCUCGUAGUUGAAUUUCUGCCUUAUCAUUAAUUUCGCUUCCGAACGUAAUUUUAUUGAUUUGGCAUCUUCUGGAUUAUAUAUUAUUUUUAAUAUAUUUUUCCAGUAUUUUACUUUGAGAAAACUAGAGUGUUUCAAACAGGCUUUUGCCUUGAAUACUACAGCAUGGAAUAAUGAAGUAGGACUAUUGGUUCUAUUUUGUUGGUUAUCGAACCAUAGUAAUGGUUAAUAGGAGCAGUUGGGGGCAUUCGUAUUUAACUGUCAGAGGUGAAAUUCUUAGAUUUGUUAAAGACGAACUACUGCGAAAGCAUUUGCCAAGGAUGUUUUCAUUAAUCAAGAACGAAAGUUAGGGGAUCGAAGACGAUCAGAUACCGUCGUAGUCCUAACCAUAAACU
rnacentral:rRNA from 1 species